rnacentral:misc_RNA from 1 species
GUUGUUAUGCCAACGGUAAUUCCAACGCCCCGGUCCGUGCUGACCGGUUUGACGACGACGGGAAACUCGAUUCUAUUGGCAGCCGUGACGGCCUUGUCUGCGUCAUCCACUUCGAUGUGAGCCGGCGUGGGCAAGCCCACUUGCUUCAGGGCUUCGAUUGUUCGUGUCUUGUCUGUCGCCUUGAGGACAGCGAGAUGCGGCGUCCGGUCCGUGAGUUUCCGUUGCAGGGUGCGUAGCCGGAAACCCUGGCCAAACCGCAGGCCGCUUCUGAAUGUGUAGACAACCGGAAUGCCGGCCUUUUUGGCUUCGCCGUAGAGAUA